rnacentral:rRNA from 1 species
CAGGACGAACGGCUGGCGGCGUGCCUAAUACAUGCAAGUCGAACGGCUUUCAUGGAGCUUGCUUCCACUGAGAAGAUAGUGGCGAACGGGUGAGUAACACUGGGGUAACCUGCCCAUAAGAGGGGGGAUAACAUCCGGAAACGGGUGCUAAUACCGCAUAGUUUUCUUGAUCGCAUGAUCGGGAAAGGAAAGACGGCCUUUGUGCUGUCGCUUAUGGAUGGACCCGCGGCGUAUUAGUUAGUUGGUGAGGUAACGGCUCACCAAGACGAUGAUACGUAGCCGACCCGAGAGGGUGAUCGGCCACAUUGGGACUGAGACACGGCCCAAACUCCUACGGGAGGCAGCAGUAGGGAAUCUUCCGCAAUGGACGAAAGUCUGACGGAGCAACGCCGCGUGAGUGAAGAAAAGGUUUUCGGAUCGUAAAACUCUGUUGUCAGAGAAGAACAAGUUGGAGAGUAACUGCUCCAGCCUUGACGGUAUCUGACCAGAAAGCCACGGCUAACUACGUGCCAGCCGCCGC